CCUGAACGCUGGCGGCGUGGCUAAGACAUGCAAGUCGUACGGGUGUAGCAAUACAUCAGUGGCGGACGGGUGAGUAAUGAAUCGCUAAUGUACCCCAGAGUCUGGGAUAGCUGCCCGAAAGGGCAGGUAAUACCAGAUGAUAUAUCCGAUAGGCAUCUGUUGGAUCUCAAAGGAGCAAUACGCUCUGGGAGCAGGCGAUUUCGUACAGCUAGUUGGUGAGGUAACGGCUCACC
rnacentral:rRNA from 1 species